UACGUAGGGUGCGAGCGUUGUCCGGAAUUAUUGGGCGUAAAGAGCGUGUAGGCGGCCAGGUAGGUCUGCUGUGAAAACUCGAGGCUCAACCUCGAGACGUCGGCGGAAACCAUCUGGCUAGAGUCCGGAAGAGGAGAGUGGAAUUCCUGGUGUAGCGGUGAAAUGCGCAGAUAUCAGGAAGAACACCCGUGGCGAAGGCGGCUCUCUGGGACGGUACUGACGCUGAGACGCGAAAGCGUGGGAGCGAACAGG
rnacentral:rRNA from 1 species